rnacentral:lncRNA from 1 species
UAUAUAUUCUCAAAACUUCAUUUUUACUAUCUCAACAUUAUCUCUUUAUCAAUCAUGCCAUGCCAUGUCAUCUCAACAUUUCUCAUAUUAAUUAUGCCGUGCCACAUCAUCUCAACAGUAAUAAGGUAUGCAUGCAUCAACAUAAUCAUAUCAGGUGCAAGAAAGUAAUCAACCGUAGGCCCUCUAAUAGCCCUAUACGGUUGAACCUAGAGCUCAAAAUCUA